GAGACCUCAGGUCAGGCGGGGCUACCCACUGAAUU
rnacentral:rRNA from 1 species